UACGAAGGGGGCUAGCGUUGCUCGGAAUCACUGGGCGUAAAGCGCACGUAGGCGGCUUUCUAAGUCAGGGGUGAAAUCCUGGAGCUCAACUCCAGAACUGCCUUUGAUACUGCGGAUCUCGAGUCCGGGAGAGGUGAGUGGAACUCCGAGUGUAGAGGUGAAAUUCGUAGAUAUUCGGAAGAACACCAGUGGCGAAGGCGGCUCACUGGCCCGGUACUGACGCUGAGGUGCGAAAGCGUGGGGAGCAAACAGG
rnacentral:rRNA from 1 species